UUCCGGUUGAUCCUGCCGGAGGCCAUUGCUAUCGGAGUCCGAUUUAGCCAUGCUAGUCGCACGGGUUUAGACCCGUGGCAGAUAGCUCAGUAACACGUGGCCAAACUACCCUACAGAUCGUGAUAACCUCGGGAAACUGAGGCUAAUAACGAAUACAGCUCCCAGAUUUGAACAUCGGGAGCUGGAAACGUUCCGGCGCUGUAGGAUGUGGCUGCGGCCGAUUAGGUAGACGGUGGGGUAACGGCCCACCGUGCCGAUAAUCGGUACGGGUUGUGAGAGCAAGAGCCCGGAGACGGAAUCUGAGACAAGAUUCCGGGCCCUACGGGGCGCAGCAGGCGCGAAACCUUUACACUGCACGACAGUGCGAUAAGGGGACUCCGAGUGCGAGGGCAUAUAGUCCUCGCUUUUCUGUACCGUAAGGUGGUACAGGAACAAGUGCUGGGCAAGACCGGUGCCAGCCGCCGCGGUAAUACCGGCAGCACGAGUGAUGGCCGCUCUUAUUGGGCCUAAAGCGUCCGUAGCCGGCCAAGCAAGUCCGUUGGGAAAUCGACGCGCUCAACGCGUCGGCGUCCAGCGGAAACUGUUUGGCUUGGGGCCGGAAGACCUGAGGGGUACGUCCGGAGUAGGAGUGAAAUCCCGUAAUCCUGGACGGACCACCGGUGGCGAAAGCGCCUCAGGAAGACGGACCCGACGGUGAGGGACGAAAGCUAGGGUCUCGAACCGGAUUAGAUACCCGGGUAGUCCUAGCUGUAAACGAUGCUCGCUAGGUGUGGCGCAGGCUACGAGCCUGCGCUGUGCCGUAGGGAAGCCGUGAAGCGAGCCGCCUGGGAAGUACGUCUGCAAGGAUGAAACUUAAAGGAAUUGGCGGGGGAGCACUACAACCGGAGGAGCCUGCGGUUUAAUUGGAUUCAACGCCGGG
rnacentral:rRNA from 1 species